GCGGGCUGGAGCGGGAGCGCGGCGAAUAGCCAGGCGGGGAGAGGGACCGCCAGACCCUCGGCCGGUCUGGCAUCGUUUGACGAACAGUAGCGUUGCCGUUUUGAGCCUUGUCCAGUCUGGAGGCCUGGGAGCGGAUCCUGGUUUCUGAACACUAGCAUCCUUCCUGUCUGCACCUUCUCUGCGUGACGGGAUGUGCACCGCCUUCCCCGACAGCCUGGCUUACCGGGGAGAAAAAGGUGGGCUUACGCCGGGGGACUGCCGUGGCCUUCGGUCCUCUGGUGUCAAUGACGGAAGAACCAAGGGGGUAGGUAGGGUGCACUGGGAAAUGCUGCUCCCUCCAGCUCGGAAAUGAGGAGGAGCUGAAGCCCGCAGCCACAGCUGCCCCCCAAAGCCUGCUCCCGCCAUGUCCCCAGUGUCCACGGCCAUCUUCCCCAAAAGUGGCAGAGUGCCCCCGUUUAAAGUAAAAAAUUGACCUGUGUCACAUCCCUGUGUGCCACAUGCAUCAAAAUGCCGCUUACACACACAAAGCAUUCAGUAAAUCAGGUGUGUUAAGUUGCUUCCUUGCUGAAAAGGUCUUUAUGAUAAAUGCCAAACUGGUAACAGUAUCUUAAUGCAUUGCAAAGAAAAGCUAACUUGCCAGAACAGCAGCAAGAUUUCACAGAAGGUAAAGGCUGUUCUAUGUCAACCUGAUAUAUUUUAUGGUAGUCAGUUGAAAUACUAAGUUGAAACAUGCAAGUGCAAACAUCCUUAUCUUUGUUUCACUUCAGUUGUGAAUAUGUAACCAUAUAACUCUUAAUGUAAUAAUCCUGAUGAUAGAUUUGAGGUUUAUAUUUCACCUUUCAUGCUGGGGCCAUCGGUGUGUAAAAGCAUUUCAAAUUCAGUUUGAUACUGGCAGUGUAACUGGCAAAUAAAUGCAACAUCAAUUUACUGUACAGA